rnacentral:rRNA from 1 species
UACGUAGGGUGCGAGCGUUGUCCGGAAUUAUUGGGCGUAAAGAGCUCGUAGGCGGUUUGUCGCGUCUGCUGUGAAAACUGGAGGCUCAACCUCCAGCCUGCAGUGGGUACGGGCAGACUAGAGUGCAGUAGGGGAGACUGGAAUUCCUGGUGUAGCGGUGGAAUGCGCAGAUAUCAGGAGGAACACCAAUGGCGAAGGCAGGUCUCUGGGCCACUACUGACGCUGAGAAGCGGAAAGCAUGGGGAGCGAACAGG